ensembl:lncRNA
GUGCCACAUAUAAGACACCACAUUCUGCGGUUAUUUAUUUGUGUGUGUGUGUGUGUGUGUGUGUGUGUGUAAUGUAUGCGUGAGCUCCACUACCAGUGAGGGAAGGAAGCCCACCUUGCACAUCUUCGUGUCUUGCUUUACAGUGCUCCUUGCACAGAACAUAUGCUGGAUAAUUCCUGGCUAGGUGAUUGAGGGAGUAAAUCAUAUUCAUGACCUUGCCUUUGGCUGCUGCUCUGGCUCCUGGCAACCUAUCAGCCUGUCAUAUGGCUACAGCUCCCACUAUGAGCAGAGCUCAAAGAACAUCAGCCCAGUGCCUAGCGCUCCAGAAGGAUUCCCUGUCUUUGUGUGUGUCUAGGGUGUGUGAGGCUGGUUGCAGAAACCACAGGUCCAGGUGGUCUCAGUUGUUCAUAGAUUAUCCAGAAGAGCAGGAUACAUAGAAGAAAGGUUUAAAACUUCUCUUUUGGUAGGGAUUGUAUUGAAUCUGUAGAUUGCCUUGGGUAGAAUUGUCAUUUAAACAAUAUUAACAAUAUUAGUUCUUCUAAUCUAAGAACAUGGUAUAUCUCCCCAUCAUUUUGUGUCAUCUUCAAUUUCUUUCAUCGGGGUCUCAUAGUUUUCUGAGUACAGGUCUUUUACCUCCUUGGGUAGGCUUUUUUUUCCUAGGCAUGUUAUUCUUUUUGAAGUGAUGAACGGAGCAGAGACCCCCCUGGCUGCACGGAGUGACGCUCAAAGUCACCAAGGACAUUGAUGGCCAAAUCAAGAUUGAUGUCAGAAUUGCUGAUUAGAGUCUGUCCAACCACAGGCCUGGAUUGAUGAGAAUAUUUUUAGAACAUACUUCACUCUUUGGCUCCUUUGACAACUCCUCACCAAUGUUUUCUUAUUUAAUUACUUUCCAUGUAAUCUGCUCCUGCAGACUUGCCCUCAGUAUUGCCUGCAUGAACAGCUUCCGUCUUGCAUUUCCUAGAAAAUACGCAUGCUCUGUCAUUUGGCAAGCACCUCCAGACUUAGGAGAGAGAUCUCUGUUGUGUCAGUCUCCACUCCUAUAU